rnacentral:rRNA from 1 species
UACGUAGGUGACCAGCGUUGUCCGGAUUUACUGGGCGUAAAGAGCGCGCAGGCGGUCGUUCAAGUCGAGUGUGAAAGCCCCCGGCUCAACUGGGGAGGGUCACUCGAUACUGAUCGACUUGAAGGCAGGAGAGGGAAGCGGAAUUCCCGGUGUAGUGGUGAAAUGCGUAGAUAUCGGGAGGAACACCAGUGGCGAAGGCGGCAUUCUGGACCGAUAUUGACGCUGAGGAGCGAAAGCCAGGGGAGCAAACGGG